AGUUAUAAGCUACAUCUGAAGCUUACUGCAAACCGAAUUUCGGCUGAAAUAUACAUGCACGUAGUAAAUAGUUCCGUAUGGUCGGUAACAAGUUAGAAAAUCCGUACCUUCAUUCAUUACAGGAGGGUUAUCAUACAUUUUGAAAUGUAUCAUGAUGUCGAAAAUUACAGUAAAUUUGUGCUGUGUACAGAAAAAAAUAUCAAUGCGCGAUUGAAUCACGUGACAGGUCAUUGAGGUCAGCCAUGUUGAUUCGACUUUCGUCAGUACGUUAAUUGAUACAGACAUCCAGGAUAUUUUGAAGAAAUUGUGUGUGAUAUAACAAACUGUUGUGUGAGGUUUUUAAUUUGACAUGGUCAAGACAUACUAUGAUAGUAUUGUUCAGUAUUACUUCUGUCAUGUUACUGUUUGAUAACAGUUAAGGUACAGUAGGUUCAGACAAGUUAUAUACAUGUAUACAGGACAAGACAGCUCAAACUGUCAGUUUGUUAUAGCAAAAAAGUGACAGCCUAGAAGUCUUCAUGAUGAUGAUGGUGA